UACGUAGGGUGCAAGCGUUAUCCGGAAUUAUUGGGCGUAAAGAGCUCGUAGGCGGUUUGUCGCGUCUGCUGUGAAAACUGGAGGCUCAACCUCCAGCCUGCAGUGGGUACGGGCAGACUAGAGUGCGGUAGGGGAGAUUGGAAUUCCUGGUGUAGCGGUGGAAUGCGCAGAUAAUCAGGAGGAACACCGAUGGCGAAGGCCAGAGUCUCUGG
rnacentral:rRNA from 1 species